CUCACCCUCUCUCUCUCUCUCUCCUCUCUCUCUCCCUCUCCCUCUCUCUCUCUCUCUUUUAAAAAAUCAGCCAUUUGGGGUUUUAAGCCAUAAACGAUUUUUCUUGUUGCAGGGGAUUGCAGAGGCAAAGCUAGGCUAGGUCUUGGAGGCUGGUGUAAGGCGGUGCGGGUAAGCAGGACGCUGAUGGGAGAGACUGGUCGAAGAAAAGCCGAAAUGGAUUCUCCGUGCCUCGGAUGGAGGAAGAGAGGGGGAAGUACGAGCUCCUUCAACUCGUUCUGUCCGGUGAGGAGUGAUCCAGCUUGGGCUGACAAGAGGCUCCGGAGCCUUCACGUUCAGUGCUUUUUUACCUGCCAAUCAAACUGCUACAAGACAACACCCUGAUCUGGCAUGGUCGUAUCAAACCUAGAAAUUACAUUCUCCUCAAGAUCCAUUUAAGAGAAUCUGGCUGGUUGCUUUGGUCUGAGAGUUCAGACAUCUCUUGCUAAGAAACUAAGAAUGACCUCAUUUUCCAUUUGCUGGGUCCUCCUGUUUUGUCAUCCCUGGGCUCUGUAAGAAGCUUGCCAGGAGGUCCCCAGCGCUGGAAGGACCAUGUGAGUUCAUCUCAGACAAUGGGUGGCACCACGGUUUUAGUGACUCACACAGUGGAGAACCACAUUCUCUCUGUGGACGAUCUUGGCAACAUGUAUUUGGUAACACAGCAAGGUAUUUUAUCUACACAUAUGUCUGUGUACCAUGUGCAUGCCCGGUACCCAUGGAAGUCAGAAGAGAGCAUUGGAUUUCCUGGGACUUAAGUUACAGACAGGUGUAAGCUGCUGUGUGGUUAUUGGGAAUUGUACCUGGGUCCUCUGAAAGAGUGGCCAGUGGUCCUAAUUGGCUGAGCCGCCUCUCCAGCCCUGAAUGUUGUCUUUAAUGUACAUAUUAUUUUUGUGAAGUUGUUUCUUACAAGAUAAAGUAUGUAAUAACAAGUCUUGGGUUUUUCCCCCCUAAUUUUAUUAUUUCAAGGGAAGCACAGUGAAGACUCUUCACUGAAGGGGAAAAAGUCCCCUGAGCCUGUUUUUGAAUUUAAAAAUGUUUAUUUAGAGAUUUCCUCCGAUAGGUAGAAUUUAUGCUGGGUCUUAUUUCAAAGCCGAUUAUUCUCUGGGAGGAGAAGGACAAUAUUAGGAUUUCAAAGACAAUCACGUUGUGUAAAAAGAUUUGCUUGUGCCUCAUUCAUAUGUUGUCAACAAUAUGACCCAAAAAAUAGGAAGAAAGAGAGAAAAAAAUGACACGGAGCAAACAUAAAAACACUAUCUGCUUCAAACAUCAAACUUUUUAGUUUGAAAGAGCAUCUUUUAGGUCUUUAUCAAUAUCCAAAUUAUAAACAAGUCAAAGGUGUCUUUCUUGUUCUUUUGGAAAACAUUAACUGUGAUACACAUCUCUGUGAGGUAGGUUUUAACAUAUUUUUUCCUAUUUUUCCCCCUACCCCAUUCAGUAAGAAGGAUAAGCCUUUAGAGUAUCCAGUCACCGUGGUAACUGCCAAAAAAAUUCUCCUGAAGUUUGAAGAGGUCAGUUCUUGGGGUCGACAACUCUGCCCUCUCUCUGAGCCCAAGCAGUGCCCGUCCUGUGGUUGGAGUGUCAGGCCAGAUCUGACCGUGGGAGGUGCUCCACUCUGGCUUGGAGAGAAAUUUUUUGAGUCAGUUCAUGGCCUAGACUCUCCAGGUGGCCUCCAAAAUCAAUUCUGACCUCCUGACCCUGUCUCACAGAGGCAUAGCAUGCACCCUAAAUAAGGAUUUAGUCAGAGACGACAGCAUUUGCUGAAUGUUAUUGGGGACAGUAUAAACACUUUGAGAGGCAAGUGAGGGGUUGUCAGCCCCAGAAAUCAUUAAAGCUCACGGACCAAAACAAGGAACUCUGCUUUCAAAAGUUACAAGUGCUCAUGUAUCUGAUUCAGAUUCCCUACCUGACUAACAUCAGUUUUAUGUAAAUAAUAAAACAAACAUUGUUACUCUUUUAUAUAUUUUGCUACAAAUAUGCAAAUAAGAUAGAAAACUCUUCAAGGAACUAGAGGAAACACGGGCAAGUAUCCUGCAGUAGAGAAGAAAGCUAAUUAUUAACAUUCACUAGUAAACAAAGAACUUGUAACAUUGUUAAGUAGUAAAGUAUGGACCUGUUUUGGAAUGUUUUAAAGGAGGAAUUUUGACAGCAAUGCCUUCUCUGGACAAAUCUGGGCAGUGGGGAUUUAUGAUGGAGUUGUCUGCCUCACUCCCUUUGCUACUUUGUAAAGCAAAUGACUAAUAGCCUCCAUUUGGAUACAAAGUAGAGAAAAUGUGUAAGUAAGUAAAAUAACAUCACACAUAGCUAAAGAAGAAGAAGAGGAAAAAGGAGAGAGAGAGAGAAAGAGAGAGAGAGAGAGAGAAAGAGAGAGAGCGCAGUUACAAGUAGCCAACAGUUUAGCAAGCCUGGAGAAUAAAACUAAGGUGUAUAUAUGCUUGUGAUUCUGUGUGUGCAAGCUGUCUGGGGCAUGCACACUUAUAUACCCUGUGAUUCUAUUACUGCGUGCACAUGUGUAUAUGUGCGCACACACACUCUUUCGUUUUUUUAGAAUGCAUCACUCCAGUUUCAUUUUUCCUGGGAGAGCACCAGUCCUGGCCACUCACUGAAAGAAGCCCAGAAGGGGCUCUGCCUUGACCCCCACUGAGCUCCCCCUCAAUCCCUGUUUGCUGUUCCCCCUUUGCUGGCUCUGCAAAUGGCAAGUUCCUUCCCCAUAGGAAACAGCUGCCGUGCCUUUCCAUCUGAUUCUUUUGUGGACAUUCUAAGUGAGGCUCAAUAUCCUUUGGGGUGCAGACUGGGAGGGGGUGCUCUACACACACACUUCCUGCUCCAAGGCCUGGGCCUUACUAGGCUUCUCACUCCAUUAAAUCCCUAUUAUAAAACGUAUCUCCACAAAGCCUAUUAUAGUAUUCUGAGAACAAACUGGACCAUGAAUAACUUAGUUGGAAGUGUAGAUUAUUUUCUACUCAGGAAAAGUUAGACAUGACAACAGCUUAGCUAGGAGAACAGUGGUUAAUCUUAAAUAGUCGGACUCAGAGUUCAAUAAAGAGUACCUCUGCUGUUUCCUCCUCACCCUCACGACACACUUCUUUGUCUUAAGCAUGUCCCCAUGAUGCCAUUGUUCCCCAGCACAGCAUAGAGCUCACAGGGAUGAUGUCCUUUUAGCGGUGGAUCUGUAGACAGAUAGAUUGCUCAAGGGGCCCCUGUACUCUGAUGUGGGGUGAAAUGAUAGGAACAGGAUCAAUCUCCCAAUUAAAUACAAUUAUGUUUACUUUUUUUUUUUUUUUUUUUUUUUCAUGGAGUCCAGGCAUGAUGGCAUGGUGGUUCCCUUCUUGAAUCACAACACUCCUGAGGUGGAGGGCAGACAGAUCUCUGUGAGUUUAAGGCAGGUCUGGUCUAUGCAGUGAGUUCCAGGAUAGCCAAGUUACAUAGUAGAAUCCUGCCUCCAGAAGGGGGAGGGGAGGGGGAGGAAGAGGAGGAGGAAG